rnacentral:lncRNA from 1 species
AAAAAUGGAUGUAAAGCACGCUUGGAGGCUAGAAAGAGCUCGUGAAGACACCUGCCGUGCAUCCUGAGUUCAAUCCCAGGACCUCUGUGUAGAAGAAGAACCCACUCCUGAAGUUGUCCCCUGACCUCUGCACACAUGCCGUGGCAGGCACAUGCUCAAGCACACACAAAAAAUACAUAAAUGUGUAAAAGAAAUGUUUAAAUGGAGUUGGUAGGGACUGGUAUGUAUUUUAAACCUUAGCAAAACCCUAAAAAAUGAGCAAACUGAAAACCGGGUGUGACUGGUUGUACUCACCAGCACUCGGGCUGUGGAGGCAGGAAAAUCAGGAGUUCAAGAUCAGUACUGGCUACUCAGCAAGUUUGAAGCCAAUCUGGGCUACAUGAGACCCUCUCUCAAAGGGGGGGGGAAAGGAAAGCAAUGGCGAAACUGAGGCAAGAUCACGAGACCAUUUUCCAAGGCUGCAUAGCUGUGAUGCAUGUUCUUCCUUGAUGACCUCAGGACCUUUCACAGACUGUGAAGAUUCCUGGAAGGGUAUCCCCAACGGCUUUAACCAGCCUCCAGAUGAGUCACUCAGGCCUCAGGCGAGUGAGAGCCUGUUAGUCAGCAGUAUUCAUUGACUGCAUGCAGUGUGCUGAGCAGGGAAACACAGCAGCCACAUCCAGGCUGCUGAGAAAGGGAGACCUGAGAGAGAUGGGGGGAUCGCCUGGACAGAGUGGGAACGAAGCCCCUUGCACAAGUGAUGCCCUGUGUGUGUUGAUGGGGCCAGCAUAUGAAGAAGGGCUUCACUCAUCCCGGGAGUGGACAGCCAGGUGUGGGGGGGUUACAGGACCCUGUCUACUCUGGUGGCCCUGGUUCAGAAAUAGGAGGUGAGCAGACAGUAGCCAAAAGUUCAGGUCAAGAUGAAGGAUUUCAUUUCUGGCAACAUACCAUGGCCCUGGCCCUUGGACUCUGGGUUAGGUUUGUACAGGACAUCAGUCCUGUCUCAAGAGUCCUUGGCCAAUCUCUGAUGAGUUCAGAUUCUGUUGGCCCUUGUACCCAGACCUCUACGAAGCCAUGGCUUUGAGUGACCAGAAUGGGUUUACCCAGAGGCACAUGAGGACCGUAAAGAGAAGGUAAGGGCUUGCCCAGGUCCCCAGACAGAGCUGCUGAUGGAGGGGUCAGCCUGUCAUUCCUUCAGACGCCAGCUUACAGUUAGCAGCUCCUUUGUGUCAGUACCGCUCUCUUUGGACUAAUUACUGGUUUACUCCAGGUCAGUGGAUCAGAAGCUGUUAGCCUGGUUUUUUAGGCUUUGGAAUCAUUCUAAUGGUCCUGUCUUAGGAUCUAAAGUGUGGUCCCUCUGCUGUUUGAAAUGACCUGGUCUUACGAUCAGUUCCUUCUGAGUCCAGUAAAUGGCCCUGAAUGAGCAAUAACCUCCCCCCUUCUCUUGCCCUCCUGCCUCCCUUACUCAUGAAUUCUCUCUCCACAGCGUCUUCCUCCACCUGAUAAAGGUGGACCCCGACUCCACCUGGCUCCUCCUGCACCAGCUGCACUGCCCUGUGCAGCAGUUCACAGCCCCGCACCCGAGCCUUCACCCAGUGCAGUGGCAGGGGGCCACUAAGCCACAGAACCCCUAUGCCACCAAUGUUUGCCACCUGCUUCUUCAACUGCAGUGAUCCUGCCAGAACCUGCCAGCUAGGAGCUGAGCUGAGCCACCCCUGCUGGAUACAGUUGCGGCAACACAGAGAGCGGUGAAGGUGGAUUAGACAACCACCAAUAUAUAAAUUGAUCGAUCACACAACUGCUUAGAAAUUGGGUUGAAGGAAAAGUCGCUUACUGUUACUUAUGUUUCACUCUUUGUGUUUUCAGAUGACAUUGAUUGGUGGCUCUAAGAGUUCAACUCUUUAGCCUACUGUCUGCACAGCCCCUCUGCCACACAAGUCCUUCAAACACACACAAACACACACACACACACACACACACACACACACCCCUUGUGCUCUAAGUCCAAGUUCGAUUCUCAGCACCCAUUAGUAGCUCUCAACCGUCCAUGACUCCAGUUUCAAGGGAUCCAACCCCCUCCUCUGACCUCAAGCACCAGACUUGCACAUGGUGCACAGACACUCAUGAGCCAAACACAUAUAAGAUAAAUAAAUCUUUUCAAAAAUGUCUUAA